rnacentral:rRNA from 1 species
AGAGUUUGAUCCUGGCUCAGGUUGAACGCUGGCGGCAGGCCUAACACAUGCAAGUCGAGCGGUAACAGGGAUAGCUUGCUAUCUGCUGACGAGCGGCGGACGGGUGCGUAACACGCAGGAAUCUACCCAGUAGCGGGGGAUAGCCCGGAGAAAUCCGGAUUAAUACCGCAUACGCCCUACGGGGGAAAGCAGGGGAUUCUUUCUUUGGAGAGAACCUUGCACUAUUGGAUGAGCCUGCGUCGGAUUAGCUAGUUGGUGGGGUAAAGGCCUACCAAGGCAACGAUCCGCAGCUGGUCUGAGAGGAUGUUCGGCCACACUGGGACUGAGACACGGCCCAGACUCCUACGGGAGGCAGCAGUGGGGAAUAUUGCACAAUGGGCGCAAGCCUGAUGCAGCCAUGCCGCGUGUGUGAAGAAGGCUCUAGGGUUGUAAAGCUCUUUUGUGCGGGAAGAUAAUGACGGUACAGCAAGGAUAAGCCCCGACUAACUUCGUGCCAGCAGCCGCGGUAAU